UAUAUAUAUAAUGGUUGAAGUAUUAGCAUUAUUGGAAAUGGCAAUUGACAUUUUGGGGGCACAAUUAAUUAGAAUAAAAAGUAAGGAGUUCAAACAAGUCAAAAAUCCAAACUAAGGAUUUAAAAGGUAAUUUGCCAUUGAUACCCAAUCAUGGGUUGACACAUGGCAAAGAAAACUUCCUUGUGAAGCUUGGAGGCUGAAAAUUCUGCUCCCUUCAUUUUGGCUGAAUCUAUCUAAAAAAAAAGCAAUUUUUUCAUCUUCUCUUUCUUUCAAUCAAACUCCACUAAACCAUCUUCUUGCCCUAACUCUAACCAUCUUCAUCUUUCAACAAAAACCAUCAUUUCCACCAUGAAACUAACAAGCUCAGCCCCCAAAUUAACAUUCUAGUAUAUGUUUGCUCAAAAGAAAGAAAAAGGGGGAAAGAAAAGAAGAGGACACAGAAGAGAUGAAAGGAGCAGGAGAAUAUGAAGCAACUGAUGGCUCUCGCAUUUCAGUUAAAUAGGUUGCUCAAACUCAAAAAGAUAUAUAGUUGAUCAGUGUCUGAAUUGCUUGAUUUGCCGGAAACUCUCUCGUGAGAGCAAAAGGAAGAAGGUUUUAAAAAGUAAACGCCAAAGUCUCCGAUUGCAUCAGGUGUCUCUUUGGAAUGGCCUGCGGAUAGUGAUAUCUGUAGAAUGAACUGUCAUCAUACGACCUCUAGUUUUGCAUCUCAAGUAGCACCAUUUAGCAUGGAUUUUCUAGAUGAUUCUCCUCAAUUUGAUGCUGAAGAAGAAGCGCUUAAGACAUUAGUUAUCAGGAAGAAAUCAGGCUUAUCUUUCUUAGUUCAUGAUGAUGAGGUGGUUCAAAUCUUCCUCAAGCAAAUUCGUGAGGAGUUGGAGACAUUCAAGGGAAUUAGGUUAGUCUAUUUUUGGGGUUCCACAGAUUUUUUCUUGUUAUGUCGUGUUUCUUUGCUAUAUGUCUUUAGCUACUUUGGUUUCAAACUUCCCUAGUUGUUAUCGCAUUCUGCCUAUCAUCUUCACUUUUUAGUGUGCCUUGUGAACUUAAGAGUCCGUUUUAUUUCUUGUUCUUGUUAGUUGUCUGUCUUCAUAUUUUAUAUCUUUUCUUCCAUCUAUCAGCAACUAGAAGCAUGUAACGUUUUGUGGGUUAUCUUGUUUCUGAGUUUAAGCCUGUGUGUUUUGAGCCCUCUUUUUCGAUCUAUUUUUUUUGAGUUGUACCUUUAUACUACUCUUUUUUGUUUAUUUAGUAAAAUUUUGCUUUAUUUAUAUAAAAAAAAAAACCAUCAUCUUAUCUAUUUCAAAUGAUUUGAAAUUUCUUAUGUGUAUUGAAAUUUCAAAUUUAAAUUAUUGAAAAUAUUCUUUCAUAAUGGUUCUUUCUUUAAAAUAAUACUUUGAGAGCAAAAUCUUUUAUAAAAAAUAAGAUUAAGUUUUUUAAUUAUCCCUUUCCCUCAUCAAUGGACACAGUGAUAACUCCAGAAAUUAUGCACAAAGAAACCUAUCUUGAAAGGACUAAAACAUUUUCUCUCUUUUUCUUAUUCUUUAGAGAAAACAAACGUUCAAAAAAAAAAUACAAACAUUCUUUCACUUCACACUUAGGCCAUAGCCAUGUUGGAGGGAUGCUGAACAUGGCAUUCUUCUACGUAAAGUACUAGUCAAUCCUGCAUCCUUUUUCUUGCCUAUUUUUUCUCAUGCUCUUUUAAGUGGACCGUCCAUUGGAAGAGCAAAGAGUCCUGCUCUGAAGAAGCACCAUUGACUACCUAUCAUUUAUAAAUAAAUAUAUAAAUAUAAUUUAUUAAUUACAUAUCCCUUCUAUCCAUUUUUAUCUGUUGCAUUUAGAUUUUACACGGUGAUAAAGGAAAUGAUUGGAUAACCUAUUUUUUAUAAAAACAUACUAGUAAUAGAUAAAAUUAAUUUUA